AAUAGAUACCCCGGUAGUCCACACCGUAAACGUUGGGCGCUAGGUGUGGGAUCCAUCCCACGGGUUCCGUGCCGCAGCUAACGCAUUAAGCGCCCCGCCUGGGGAGUACGGCCGCAAGGCUAAAACUCAAAGGAAUUGACGGGGGCCCGCACAAGCGGCGGAGCAUGCGGAUUAAUUCGAUGCAACGCGAAGAACCUUACCUGGGUUUGACAUAGGAAGAAAUCCAUCAGAGAUGGUGGGUCCGUAAGGGCUUUCUACAGGUGGUGCAUGGCUGUCGUCAGCCCGUGUCGUGAGAUGUUGGGUUAAGUCCCGCAACGAGCGCAACCCUCGUUCCAUGUUGCCAGCAACAUUCCCUGCCUCCUUUGGGGGUGUGGGGUGGUUGGGGACUCAUGGGGAGACUGCCGGGGUCAACUCGGAGGAAGGUGGGGAUGACGUCAAGUCAUCAUGCCCCGUUAUGUCCAGGGCUUCACGCAUGGCUACAAGUGGCCGGUACAAAGGGCUGCGAUCCCGUGAGGGGGANCGAAUCCCGAAAAAGCCGGUCUCGAGUUCGGAUUGGGGUCG
rnacentral:rRNA from 1 species